GAGAUCUUUGGUUUUGCCUUUGCUGACUGCUGAUCUGAUCGUCUCAAGUCUGGUGACCUGCUGCAGAAGCUCUCUCCCUCUAUCAUUAACAAGCCAUUCAGUCUGUCCUAUCACUCUCCCCACUCGAUCUAUUUUGACAAGCCGUUCUAUCUUGCUUCACUCUAUCCCACAAGCUCUAUCUAAGUUAUCAAAAAUCACGUUUUUAACUGGAAUCAAAUUUUGAAUGGAAUCAAGUUUUGUCUGGCGAAAUCAAGUUUUGACAUGGCCCCAAUUUUUGGGAAAUUGAAGUUACCAGUACUUCAUCGAUCUGUUAUAGAAUUCUGAGAGAUCUCUGCUCUCACUGCUCCUUCUUUCCUAUCGUUAAACUCUCUCACAUCCAGUCUUUUUGCUGGAAAUUACAAGUAGAAAGUUGAAAUUACAAUAGUAGAAUUACAGUACAGUAGAAACUAUUUACACAGCUGUAGAUUUGUCAUUUUAAUUUUUACUUGGAACACUUUGGAAUAAACACUGAUAGUUUGGCUUAGAGGUGCAAUUACUUUGAUACAUUAUAUAAAAUUUACACCUUAAAGGUUUUUUGUAAUAAGAUAAACUUGUUAUUUUAUACGACACAUUCAGACUGCUGUAUUCACUAAAAUAUUAAAUUAGAUAACUUCAGAUACAUUUUGCUAGUCUGUUUCAUUGUCAGUAACAUUUGACUAUAGUAGGGUUAUACUAUUAUUAUUUAGGGACAUUUCUGUUACUCAGUGUAAGUGUUCAGACACAAUUGCCAUCGAGAAGCUGCCUUGAGGACCCAGACUUCCUGUUUCCUGACUGCUGCAGAACAUCCAGCUGAAGAAUCCUCAUCGCCUGUCAUUUGAUCUGUUUAUAUUUGCUUUACAUUUUAGAUAUCUGAAAGAUUUACACAAAGUAUACUUCAAAGCUAAGAGUUUUAUUAUAGCCUGUUGAUUAUUGUGAUUUAUUCUAUACAUCCCUUUACAGAAGCUAAGAUCUAGUCAUUAACAAGUCUGGUUAAAAUAUCAGAAGUAAAAAUAUUCUGGUUUGGAAAAAGCUACAAUAAAACUGAGCAAAGUGUUUUCAAAGAACUGAAUAUCUUUUAUAUUGAGUUUGGAUUAAAGUCAACCUUCUACAUCUAUUUACAUAUUUAUAAAAACAUUGGAACAUUUUUUAUAUUUAUAUUGACAUUUUUUCAGAUUUAAUACUAACUUGAAGAGUUAUUAGUUCUUCACUGUUUCCAGGUUGAGUUUUGUUGAUAUCUUUGUAUAAAUACGUAUAACCUUCAGUUUGUACUCAAUAAAAUGCCGAGAAAAGGUCAAAGGUCGCAGUCCCAGAAGCUUAGAUGGCAAAAGCAGAAAGAACAGUUAAAUGUUUCUCAGAGCGGUGAGCAGGUAAAGGUGUCUGUUACAACUAUUCCCAGUCCUAAAGUGCAGAGCAGUGUUCAGACAGCCACAGUCACUUAUUCAGAUGUGGUAAAGAGACGUGUACAAUCAGUGUCUGUGCCAAAUGCUAAAGUGCAGCAGGUAAUCCAGACUGAACCGCAGGUAACUGUGCAAACGCAGCAUGAUGGAGAAGCUCCAGGACCGUCUCAUGUACAAGUUACAAACAGUGAAAGUCGUCCACGAGUGAGCAGCAUCUGUGCAUCCCGAAGCCAGGCCUCUCCUAGGUAUGGAAAGUACAGGAAUCAGCAAUGCAUGGUGAACAGUUUGGUUUUCCUGUCAUUCUUACAUGAGGAUGAAUUCAUUACCAGAGCAGAUCUUAACCGUGUGUUGGACAAAGGCCAUGCCGUGUAUUCAGAUGCCAGAAAGAGGUUUGUGAGCAGCGUGUUUCUAGCCUGCGAUGAGCUUCCCACAGUGGUCACCAGCCGUAGACACGAGUAUCAAGUGGACAUGUCUCAGUUUGCUCGUUAUGGCACAUUUGAUAGUACAGAUCACCUUCCGAGCCUUGAACAGGGACUACAGUGUUUGGAUUCAGACGUUCGCUAUGCUUUGCUAGUCAUGGGAGGAACAGUCAUUGCAGUUUGCAGGCUGACUUCAGGUGAAUACGCAUAUUUUGA